GGCUUUUUGAGAUCGUUAUCAUUUCUCUGAAGAGAAUACUCUUUGGUGGAACAUUUCUUGCAAUGGAAUAUAUUUACCAUGCAAGUAUAACAAGGUGGUAUAAGUUCCACCAAGAACUUUCUGUCUGCCAAAGAGGGUUAAUUACUACUUUGUGAAACUUGGUACUGAGUCUCGCAGUUCUAGUAAUAUGAGCCAAGGUUUGGGAACCUUAAUAACCAGAUGAAUCAGACAAGUCAUCAAGAGUUAAAACAAAUUUAUGGAAACUACCAAGAGUGAGAUAUGUUGUAUAUAUGGAGAUUUUGUUUGAAGGGCAAAAAAUAAUGUGUAAGAUGACUUCAUUUAGAACACCAGAUGUAAUUAAAAACAAGAAAA